GUGGAUGCAGCGCCGGACGCCACAGCCGAAAAACAGAAUCUUGGAACUGGUUUAGUACAAUCCAGCCAACGAGUGGAUAAAGAAAAUGUGAUAUAUAUGCACUAUGGAAUACUAAGCCAUAAGAAGGAAUGAAAUAAUGGCAUUUGCAGCAACCUAGAUGGAGUUGGAGACCAUUAUUCUAAGUGAAGUAACUCAAGAAUGGAAAACCAAAUAUUGUAUGUUCUCACUCGUAAGUGGGAGCUAAGCUGCGAAGAUGCAAAGGCAUAAGAAUGAUAUAGUGGACUUUGAGGACUCAAGGGUUGAAGGAUGAGACUACACAUUGGGUACAGUGUGCACUGCUUGGGUGAUGAGUGCACCAAAAUCUCAGAACUCACCACUGAAGAACUUCCCCAUGUAACCAAAAACCACCUGUUCCACAGAAACUAUCGAAAUAACAUUUUUAAAACUUUACUAUUUCUGAAUAAAAUUUACAUACAUUUCUCAGAAAAAAAAAUAUUUGGAAUUGAGGUAUCUAAUAGAGAACUGAGUUAAAUUAUUGCCACUUAAAAACACAAAGUGAUAUAGCCACUUUAUGAAUUAAUCAGUCAGCAGUGGCUAGGUUAUGCUUAGUGGUUUAUAACCAAAUCUUAGUUUAUAACAACAAAUGUGUAUUGUUAAUUCCCACUACAAGUUUAUAACGACAUUGCUGGAUGCUACACUCCAUGUCUCUUUGUGGGACCCAGGCUCAUGGGACUUCUGUUACCUGCAUUAGAGAGA
rnacentral:lncRNA from 1 species